AUCUUAUGAAUGAAGUGUAUUCUUUCAAAUAAAAAAAAAUCUGUUCUUAUCAGCUUUAAUAUCUGACAUGUGCUUUACUUAAGGACCCUAUGUUAAACUGAUUUUUGGAGCAGGAAUUGGAACAGGGCCUUGCUCCAUCCUCUCCACGCAUCAUCCUGGUAUUGCAGUGUUUCCAGGAAUGGUGCACUCUCA